UACGGCGGUCAUAGCGUCGAGGAAACGCCCGGUUCCAUUCCGAACCCGGAAGCUAAGCUCGAUCGCGCCGAUGGUACUGCACUCGGGAGGGUGUGGGAGAGUAGGUCGCCGCCGGACAUCUUCACUGGGAGUGGAGGAGUGCUUGAACCCCU
rnacentral:rRNA from 1 species